rnacentral:rRNA from 1 species
GUANGGUGCGAGCGUUAAUCGGAAUUACUGGGCGUAAAGCGUGCGCAGGCGGUUAUAUAAGACAGAUGUGAAAUCCCCGGGCUCAACCUGGGACCUGCAUUUGUGACUGUAUAGCUAGAGUACGGUAGAGGGGGAUGGAAUUCCGCGUGUAGCAGUGAAAUGCGUAGAUAUGCGGAGGAACACCGAUGGCGAAGGCAAUCCCCUGGACCUGUACUGACGCUCAUGCACGAAAGCGUGGGGAGCAAACAGGAUUAGAUACCCUGGUAGUCCACGCCCUAAACGAUGUCAACUGGUUGUUGGGUCUUCACUGACUCAGUAACGAAGCUAACGCGUGAAGUUGACCGCCUGGGGAGUACGGCCGCAAGGUUG